UGGGGAAUAUUGGACAAUGGGCGAAAGCCUGAUCCAGCCAUGCCGCGUGUGUGAAGAAGGUCUUCGGAUUGUAAAGCACUUUAAGUUGGGAGGAAGGGCAUUAACCUAAUACGUUAGUGUUUUGACGUUACCGACAGAAUAAGCACCGGCUAACUCUGUGCCAGCAGCCGCGGUAAUACAGAGGGUGCAAGCGUUAAUCGGAAUUACUGGGCGUAAAGCGCGCGUAGGUGGUUUGUUAAGUUGGAUGUGAAAACCCCGGGCUCAACCUGGGAACUGCAUUCAAAACUGACUGACUAGAGUAUGGUAGAGGGUGGUGGAAUUUCCUGUGUAGCGGUGAAAUGCGUAGAUAUAGGAAGGAA
rnacentral:rRNA from 1 species